AUUGAACGCUGGCGGCAUGCCUAACACAUGCAAGUCGAACGGUAACAGGAAGAAGCUUGCUUCUUUGCUGACGAGUGGCGGACGGGUGAGUAAUGUCUGGGAAACUGCCUGAUGGAGGGGGAUAACUACUGGAAACGGUAGCUAAUACCGCAUAACGUCGCAAGACCAAAGAGGGGGACCUUCGGGCCUCUUGCCAUCGGAUGUGCCCAGAUUGGAUUAGCUAGUAGGUGGGGUAACGGCUCACCUAGGCCACGAUCCCUAGCUGGUCUGAGAGGAUGACCAGCCACACUGGAACUGAGACACGGUCCAGACUCCUACGGGAGGCAGCAGUGGGGAAUAUUGCACAAUGGGCGCAAGCCUGAUGCAGCAAUGCCGCGUGUAUGAAGAAGGCCUUCGGGUUGUAAAGUACUUUCAGCGGGGAGGAAGGGAGUAAAGUUAAUACCUGUGCUCAUUGACGUUACCCGCAGAAGAAGCCCCGGCUAACUCCGUG
rnacentral:rRNA from 1 species